rnacentral:lncRNA from 1 species
UGAAUCACUAAGUUUCAAUAGAGGGAUAUUGAUUUUAGUGGGAGUAGAUUCUGUUAAAAUAGUUUAAUGUGAUUUGCUCUAUCAUGGAUACGUUUGUCUUAGUGUAUUUUGCAUUACAUUGUUGUAGAUUAAAUGGCACCUAGCAGCACUACACCGUUUGCUUUGCGUUCGGUCCUUGAGAAGGACAAGUUGAAUGGAACAAAUUACUCGGAUUGGAUCCGUAACUUGAGAAUUGUUCUCAGGGCUGAGAAAAAGGAAGAUGUUCUAGACAACCCACUACCAGAAGAACCUGCUGAUGAUGCACCCGCUGCUGCUAAGAAUGCUU